AAGGAUUUAGGUUAAAAUAAACCCAUGGCCUUCAAAGCCAUUAAUAGAAGGAAAUUCUAAGCCUUA
rnacentral:tRNA from 2 species